AGGGGAGAACCUUACCAAGUCUUGACAUCCCACUGGCGUACCAGUAAAGUGGUAUUUCCUUUGGGACAGUGGUGACAGGUGGUGCAUGGUUGUUGUCAGCUCGUGUCGUGAGAUGUUGGGUUAAGUCCCGCAACGAGCGCAACCCUUAUCCUUAGUAGCCAGCAGGUAAAGCUGGGCACUCUAGGGAGACUGCCAGGGAUAACCUGGAGGAAGGUGGGGAUGACGUCAAAUCAUCAUGCCCCUUAUGACUUGGGCUACACACGUGCUACAAUGGCGUAAACAAAGGGAAGCGAAACCGUGAGGUCAAGCAAAUCCCAAAAAUAACGUCUCAGUUCGGAUUGUAGUCUGCAACUCGACUACAUGAAGCUGGAAUCGCUAGUAAUCGCAGAUCAAGAAUUAC
rnacentral:rRNA from 1 species